rnacentral:lncRNA from 1 species
AACGUUAUAACGGAUGAAUAGACCCCAUUUGAACAUGUUGGAAGUAUCUCAAGUCAUUCCCUUGUGUUGAUUGAUCACCCAGAUAGGACCCACAAAGUGUCUUGGAUGAUAUUCAAGCUUCUUGGAUCUAAUUCCGAUUGACAUGAUGAAAUGCAAUAUGAAAUGUUAAAUGACCUAAAAAUCUUGGAUGAUAUUCAAGCUUCUUGGAUCUAAUUCCGAUUGACAUGAUGAAAUGCAAUAUGAAAUGUUAAAUGACCUAAAAAUGAAUGCAUGAAUGAGGGGGGCAAAUUUUGAGGUAUUACAACAUGUUCAUCAAAAA